rnacentral:rRNA from 1 species
AUUGAACGCUGGCGGCAGGCCUAACACAUGCAAGUCGAACGGUAACAGGAAGAAGCUUGCUUCUUUGCUGACGAGUGGCGGACGGGUGAGUAAUGUCUGGGAAACUGCCUGAUGGAGGGGGAUAACUACUGGAAACGGUAGCUAAUACCGCAUAACGUCGCAAGACCAAAGAGGGGGACCUUCGGGCCUCUUGCCAUCGGGUGUGCCCAGAUGGGAUUAGCUAGUAGGUGGGGGAACGGCUCACCUAGGCGACGAUCCCUACCUGGUCUGAGAGGAUGACCAGCCACACUGGAACUGAGACACGGUCCCGACUCCUACGGGAGGCAACAGUGGGGAAUAUUGCACAAUGGGCGCAAGCCUGAUGCAGCCAUGCCGCGUGUAUGAAGAAGGCCUUCGGGUUGUAAAGUACUUUCAGCGGGGAGGAAGGGAGUAAAGUUAAUACCUUUACUCAUUGACGGUACCCGCAGAAGAAGCACCGGCUAACUCCGUG